UAUUCAGGGCAGUCAGGUGCAUGCAGUUCUGAACCCAAAGCGGCUCAAUAUUUUAUGGGGGGCAAGGUGCAUAGGGACAAUGGGAAUGGGAAGUGCCAGUACCAAUGUUUAUCGAUAUUGCCUGUAGGGGGUGUAAUAAUUAAUUUCAGGUGUGUGUAUGCAUUUAGGGAUGCACAAAAUCCACUAUUUUGGGAUUCAGGUAAAACCCGAACAUACAACUGACUACAUACAAAUGACUCAAUGUUUUCCUUAGAUCAUUGGAGAAGCCAUGUGAAAAUCAAACAGAUGGCACUUGCUCUAUACUGUGUAGACCAUUAAGUACAGUUUCAGAGAAUGUGUACAUCUGGUGCAGUUUGAUAGCAGUUCUGGCUGUUGUGCCGUUUGUAUUUCUUCUUUACUGUUGCAAAAGAAAAAAGGAACCGUUGGGGGAACAUGAAAUUAUUCUGGUCGAAAGUGAGACAACAGGUAAUUUAUUAAAACCCAAUGAAGCUGGUGGGAAGCCAAACAAUUUCACAAUAAGUCCUUCUUCAAACAAUGACAGUGGUAAGAAUUAAAAAUAUAAAAUGUUUCUAUAUUUUUCUAUAUUGUAUGGUGAUUGAUCCAAACCUACCUUUUAAGAUAAGAGAAUAGUCCCGAAGCAUGGUUUCUUGGAUUUUGGAUUUUGGAAGUGACAGGGAUAGCAAUGUCCUGGUGCACUCUGUUCAUAAAUGGGGGAGAUACUUGCUAGAGGUUGCGAUUAAUAGAUUGUAACUACUCACCCAAGCCUGUGCUACUGAAUUGAACAGGUUAUCCUUUUUUAUUAUGUAUGAAGCAUCUGCCCAUUAUGAGGGUUUUCUUUCUACUUUCAUGCAUAAGAGGGCCCAGUUUGGAAAACUAUUAAAGGGGUUUUUCACCUUUGAGUUAACUUUUACUAUGAUGUAGAUCAGGG